AGAGUUUGAUCCUGGCUCAGGACGAACGCUGGCGGCGUGCUUAACACAUGCAAGUCGAGCGGAAAGGCCCUUCGGGGUACUCGAGCGGCGAACGGGUGAGUAACACGUGAGUAACCUGCCCUUCACUCUGGGAUAAGCCUGGGAAACUGGGUCUAAUACCGGAUACGACGCAUCUUCUCAUGGGGUGUGCGUGGAAAGUU
rnacentral:rRNA from 1 species